UUGCUGUGUAUCAAUUCAACCUCUUCUAC
rnacentral:piRNA from 1 species